rnacentral:sRNA from 1 species
AGAAUCUCUUGUCUAUCAGAGCAGAUAAUAAAGAUUCAAUUGAUCUAGCUACUGUUGCUGUGAUCACAGUGCACAGCAAGCAUAUCAACACUUGCUUCCACUAUUCUCACACACAAUUGAAUGAAGGUGUUAUUUCUAUUAAACAUAUUCCCACUGAGAAUAUGAUAGCAGAUGGAUUAACCAAACCUCUGGGCACAGUGGCAUUUAGGUAUUUCAUUGAUUUACUAGGACUUUUCACUGAUAACAGCAAGAAUGAUUAAAUUUCUAUAUGUAGCAUGAUUUUGGAAUGAUCCAAGUUGAGAUAG